AUUGAACGCUGGCGGCAUGCCUUACACAUGCAAGUCGAACGGCAGCACGGGAGCAAUCCUGGUGGCGAGUGGCGAACGGGUGAGUAAAGUAUCGGAACGUACCUUUCAGUGGGGGAUAACGUAGCGAAAGUUACGCUAAUACCGCAUAUUCUGUGAGCAGGAAAGCAGGGGAUCGCAAGACCUUGCGCUGAUGGAGCGGCCGAUAUCAGAUUAGCUAGUUGGUGAGGUAAAGGCUCACCAAGGCGACGAUCUGUAGCGGGUCUGAGAGGAUGAUCCGCCACACUGGGACUGAGACACGGCCCAGACUCCUACGGGAGGCAGCAGUGGGGAAUUUUGGACAAUGGGCGCAAGCCUGAUCCAGCAAUGCCGCGUGCAGGAAGAAGG
rnacentral:rRNA from 1 species